GGAGGAGCCUACACACAUACAGCGGAGCUCCAGAGGAGUUUCUCAGGAGGUGAAUCUCCUCAUAUUCCUUCACCUGAUGGUGUACCUGAUACUACAGUGACAACAAGGAAAGUAGUUCGGAGGCCAUGGACAACAAAGGAGGUCCUUGCUGUAAUGAGGCAUUUCAAAUAUCGGUCGUUUUCAAACCACAAAGGGUCGUUUGGCUUCAAAAUUGGAGUGCGAGAAAUGCAAGAAAGCAGAAUUUCCCAUUUUAGAAGGGCAAAUUUUUUUGUUUAAAAAGUGUCUUAGAUACUGUUUUUAAGAUAGUUGUUGCUGUUGAAAACUACUUCCAAUAGUCUCCUCACAAAAAUCCCUUUUGAUGGUUUUGAGUUCCAUAUCAAAGGGUGUGAAUACUUAUGUACCUAUUAUGUUUAAAUGUUUACAUUUUUAAAAGAUUUACAAAAAUGUCUGAAAACAUGUUUUCUCUUUGUCAUUAUGGGUUAUUUCGUGUAGAUUUUUUAAAAAGAAAACUAAACUCAAAUCGGAUUUCGAAUAUGUCUGUAACGUAACAAAAUGUGGGAAAAGUGAAGGGGUGUGAAUACUUUCUGAUGGCACUGUAUAUUUAUAUAUUGAUGACAGAUUGGCAAAAACAAAGCUGUCUUUAAAAUAUUGGUUACAUUAGAUUGAAAAGACAGGCAGAUUAUGUGUCCUUUUAUGCCUUUGUUUGUCCUCUUAAGACAGUAUCUGCUCAUGUUUGUGUUUGUGUAUGUGGUGUGUGCUGAUAAACCAUGCGUGUCCUUUUAAACACUCUUCAGGUCAUGUCUCUCUAAGGCUGUAAAAUGUCAGGUAUAUGAUAUUUCCAUGAUUUUAAAAUAAAAAGGUGAUUCUAAUUUGGAUGUAUCUUUAGCAGGUUUAAAUACAUUUUUGGGAGUUACUUGCACAUUGAUAGCAUAUGUGGAAAGUGGUGUCCCCAUAAAGUAGGUACUGAGUCAGGUGUCCUCAUAUACCAUAAUUACCAGUAUGUGUGCGCGCGCGCGUGUGUGCGUGUGUGCGUGUGUUUGCCCUGUGAUGGACUGUCCGAAUGAAUCAUACCCACCGCGACCCUGAAGAGGAUGAAGCGGCUCUAAAACAGACAAUAAAUGAAUGAAUGUUAGAGCAGCUUAAUAAGCCAUUAUAUCUCUGAAUAAGUAUUAUGCACUAAUAAACGUAAUACACUAAUUAGAAUUAAAA